UCGAUACGGCGGACACAACAACACACUGACAUUGGUCGACGUAAACAAAGAAACAAUGGCAGUGAAAAAUGUCCGUAUUUCGGCUGCCACUAAAGGAAAGCAUCGACGUGCAGGAUUAGCGCAGGACCUUACUUCGUUCAGCGCCCAACGCGGGAGACCUCUCACGGCCCUGAGACCUUUCGUCAGUUCCGAACAAGUGCAUUCCGUCCUCGUCAACGCCUCUGUCUCUCUCCGCGAGCCUACCUACUUGUUUACACAUCCAGACCGCCUCAGCUAAGUGGAAUGUGGGAGGGUUACCCGGCGUGGAGUACUGUGUGUGAACUAUAUACAAUCUGACCGCUUCAUAUGUAUGCGUAGACACGUUAAAUGGACACGUACAAAUUGGAACAGAUGCAACUCUCUCACACAUCGGAGCAGAGGUCACCGUCCUUCGCCCGGACGCAGCGCAAGGUCACCGAAUAUUGGGCCCUGGGUCGCCGGACGUUGUCAUAUCUCACCACCCGGGAAAAAGGAGGAACCAGUUACAUUUUUUUUUUUUUUUAAGCUAUUAUUUUAUCCCUUUGUACUAUUCUGCCCUACAUAAAACCCCCUUUUUAAUUCUA